rnacentral:lncRNA from 1 species
UCAAGAUUUGUAUUUCUUUUCUUUUUUUUUUUUUCUUUUUGCCUUUUCUAGGGCUGCAUCUGUGGCCUAUGGAGGUUCCCAGGCUAGGGGUCUAAUUGGAGCUGUAGCCACCGGCCUACACCACAGCCACAGCAACACCAUAUCCGAGCCUCGUCCGUGACCUACACCACAGCUCACGGCAACGCCGGAUCCUUAACCCAUUGAGCAAGGCCAGCGAUCAAACCCUCAAUCUCAUGGUUCCUAGUCUGAUUCGUUAACCACUACGCCACGACGGGAACUCCUUUUUUUAUUUCUAAUCAAUACAGAAUUGCUACAUGUUAAUAUAAACGACACACCACCCAGCCACACAGUGAUGAGAAGGUGCAGAUUUGUGGAAAGGAAUCAGCCUGAGGACUCUAGGAAAUUCCCAAUAGGGAACAAUGCGUCUGCUUCAGAGUGUCAACGUGAAAAGCUGCCAUCAGCAAGGAGAAUCUUCCUAAAACAGGUGAGAAAGGGUCUUGGAGAAAAAAUUUUUGUACAACAACAAUGUCUACCCUAUGGUACACCCAAUAUUUGAUAAACAGUGAAAUGUAGGGAAAUAGACCUGAAAAUUCAGGUACAAAGGAAUUGCGACAUUUUUGGAUAAAAAUGCAUUGAACAUCUUGCAAAUACUCAAGAUAGGUCUAACGAGGUAUUUCCCCUGCCUUAAAAAAUCAACCCCAUGUACAUUCUUCUUUUUCUGCCUGUCUCUCUUUCUCACUGUUUUUCUCUCUGUGCAGUGAGAAUCUACAGUGUGCUGAGAAAAAUGUAUCUUUUUCCUGCAGCUGGCUCUGAGCUUGUCUCCUGCAGACAGUGAACGGCCCAGAGAUAAAGCCCAUCCCCACCAGGCCCCACCAGCAAUCUUGUGGAAACAGAGCCCCUGUGUUUGCCUGUGGUGGGGUCUGCCAUGUCUCUCUUUUAGGUGCUUGGCAUGUUGAAAAGAACUGCUGAGUUGGUCAUUGAUGGAGACAUGGCAUUCUUGUACAAGGGGACAGGGAAGACCCCAGGGGACCCUGGGGCUGCCCCCUCUGCAGGUGGCGCUCGCUAGCCAGGAGGCAUGAAGU